rnacentral:rRNA from 1 species
GGAAUUCCGCGUGUAGCAGUGAAAUGCGUAGAUAUGCGGAGGAACACCGAUGGCGAAGGCAAUCCCCUGGGCCUGCACUGACGCUCAUGCACGAAAGCGUGGGAGCAAACAGGAUUAGAUACCCUGGUAGUCCACGCCCUAAACGAUGUCAACUGGUUGUUGGACGGCUUGCUGUUCAGUAACGAAGCUAACGCGUGAAGUUGACCGCCCGGGGAGUACGGCCGCAAGGUUGAAACUCAAAGGAAUUGACGGGGACCCGCACAAGCGGUGGAUGAUGUGGUUUAAUUCGAUGCAACGCGAAAAACCUUACCUACCCUUGACAUGUCUAGAAGUUACCAGAGAUGGUUUCGUGCUCGAAAGAGAACUAGAACACAGGUGCUGCAUGGCCGUCGUCAGCUCGUGUCGUGAGAUGUUGGGUUAAGUCCCGCAACGAGCGCAACCCUUAUCAUUAGUUGCUACGCAAGGGCACUCUAAUGAGACUGCCGGUGACAAACCGGAGGAAGGUGGGGAUGACGUCAGGUCAUCAUGGCCCUUAUGGGUAGGGCUACACACGUCAUACAAUGGCCGGUACAGAGGGCUGCCAACCCGCGAGGGGGAGCUAAUCUCAGAAAACCGGUCGUAGUCCGGAUCGCAGUCUGCAACUCGACUGCGUGAAGUCGGAAUCGCUAGUAAUCGCGGAUCAGCUUGCCGCGGUGAAUACGUUCCCGGGUCUUGUACACACCGCCCGUCACACCAUGGGAGCGGGUUCUGCCAGAAGUAGUUAGCCUAACCGCAAGGAGGGCGAUUACCACGGCAGGGUUCGUGACUGGGGUGAAGUCGUAACAAGGUAGCCGUAUCGGAGGGUGCGGCUGGAUCACCUCCUUUCUG